AUCAAAAGCUCUAUUCUAUCAAUCAAUUCUUCUAUAUAUAAUAUGGAUUCAAUGGGAACAUAAACUUUGUGUUUCUUGCUCAUUACCUUAUAUUGAAUAAAUGUUAGUAUACCAUUGGUAUGAACUGUGAGUCCACACACCUCACUAUCAGUAUUCAGACAAUUGAACACCAAGCUGUUUCUAACUUUGCCUAUUUUAAUCUCCUAUGGUUUUUCAGCAAAAUAUUGGUUUAAACAUGUUAUAAUUUCCAUAUUUUUAAAAUGAUGUCUCUAGGUCAAAGGAUGUGUAGUUUAGGAAUAUUUUGCACACAAUUGAUAUCUAAUUUGAAUAAAAAUGCAUGUCCUUCUAUUCAUUUUCUUUCAGUAGCGAUUCUAAUGAACCAUACACUUUCUUAACUGUGGAGGAAAAAAAGACAAAACUGUUAUUUGGAGCCGAAUCGAGCAGGCAGUUUAACAAGCAACAGGAAAUGUUUAAAAGCACCAAGAUCAUUAUCCAGUAAAAUUAAAUCUCCAAACCAAAGGGCUGAACACUCAAUCCAUGGGAAUUCUUCAAGUGAAACUACUAUCAGCCUCAAGAACACAACUAUACAGGUAAAGCCAUACACUGUACAGGUAAAGCCACACAUCUGUAUGGGGAAAACUAUUAGAUAUACUGGACCAUCUGGGGAGAGAAGAGCAAUUCAAGCUGUCCCCAGCCUGAGCAGUGGUGUGUCCUCCUCUCAGCAGGUUCAGAUG
rnacentral:lncRNA from 1 species